GGACAUCCAGAUGUUUUGAUGUUUUACCAUCCUUGUGGGAGGUUUCUCUCAUGUCCCUGCAUGAGGAGCUGGAGCUGACAGAGGGAGCCGAGCUGUUAUUAGCUUGCAUUUUGCAAAGAGAAAACCUAGACACGAUUGGAACUGCAGAAUUCAAAGUAACAUUUAAAAUGUUUUCUGAUGGUUAUGCUGUUCAGGAAACACAAGUCUGGAAACUACCGAGAUUUGGGAAUAAAAGAAAGCAAGAAUAACAGAAGGUGGACACUGUCAGAUUUCAGACUUAUUUCUACUGGAUAUGGAAGUAUGCAGAGUCUACAAUGGAAUGUGCCUGCCUCGAUUUGAUUGCCCCCCUUUUACUGUCAGGGUUUCAAUAUGUGGCACAGACUGGAGUUGCUGUAAAAGUCUAAUAUACACUGAUGAAGACUGUCAAGCAACAAGCGGUUUUUGUAAAAACCCAACAGAUCCUGAUUAUUUAUGUUCAUCCAAUACAUACAACUAUGGAACAUGUAGCGAUAGAGGUGCAUGUUGUGUAAGUUGGGAAUAUCUGCAAAUCUAACUCUUCCGUCUCUUAAAAAAGCAUGAACAGAAAGUCAUAUACUUGGAUUCUAACAGAACCAUAACGGUAGAAAUGCAAAGCUUGAAGCAAAGUGGAUUUGUGUUUUUCAUUAACCUCUUUGAAAUAAAAAAAAAACCUGCAUGA